UACGUAGGGUGCAAGCGUUAAUCGGAAUUACUGGGCGUAAAGCGUGCGCAGGCGGUUUUGUAAGUCUGACGUGAAAUCCCCGGGCUCAACCUGGGAAUUGCGUUGGAGACUGCAAGGCUAGAAUCUGGCAGAGGGGGGUAGAAUUCCACGUGUAGCAGUGAAAUGCGUAGAGAUGUGGAGGUACACCGAUGGCGAAGGCAGCCCCCUGGGUCAAGAUUGACGCUCAUGCACGAAAGCGUGGGGAGCAAACAGG
rnacentral:rRNA from 1 species